AAAACAGCACGAUUUGUUAAUAAAACAACAUGAUGUUUAAUUAGAUGCAUGUAGUUUACCAUUCCAACUUUAAUUCCUGUCGUAAAAAUUCCCGGAGUGUCGAGAGCUUAGAAUGAUGAACCCUAAUUCGUGAAAGGGAGGGGCUUUGAGUUUCGUUUGGUUCUUGUGAGAAUUCGAGACUGGGUUUGAGAGAGGGUGAGUUUGAGUUUGGUGAGAAAGUUGAAAUCAAGAAGGUUCCUGUGGGUUUGAAAUCGAAAAGUGAAAGAGUAUAUUCGGGAGCCGCUGGAAGACGGACAGAGAACAUGAAUAAGUUCUUUUAUUCCCCGUCUGGAAUUGUCGAUCAUAGUAGGAAGGAUAUAUGUUGUGAUACAGAUGUGGUGGAGAUGGUGAACGCCUCAAGUGAACUGGAAAGCAUAAAUCUUUUUGUUGUAAGAGCUGAUGAUCAGUUCUUAUUGGAGGAGAAGAAGAGGAAGAAGAACCUACGAGUGAUCAUUUGAAGUUUGAACCAUUUACAUUAAGUUAAAUUUGUUGCUUGUUGCUAUGUGUUUUAAAGCGUUAUGUUAUUAGUUUCUUCCAACGACAAGUGCAAAAAAUAGUUUUAAAUGUCAUGUUAUUAAACAA